UACGGAGGAUUCAAGCGUUAUCCGGAUUUAUUGGGUUUAAAGGGUGCGUAGGCGGUCGGAUAAGUUAGAGGUGGAAUCCCGGGGCUCAACUUCGGAAUUGCCUCUGAUACUGUUCGGCUAGAGAGUAGUUGCGGUAGGCGGAAUGUAUGGUGUAGCGGUGAAAUGCUUAGAGAUCAUACAGAACACCGAUUGCGAAGGCAGCUUACCAAGCUACUUCUGACGUUGAGGCACGAAAGCGUGGGGAGCAAACAGG
rnacentral:rRNA from 1 species